CAGAGGAGGAAACUAAAGCUCAGAGUUUAAGCAACGAGCUUAAAGGAUACCAACUAGGAAGCAGUAAAUCUAGGACAGGGACCCAGAUGGUCAAAUUCCAAGGUCAUCGUUGUCUCUGGGAUGUCGUGUCCCUCACUCCAGGCCCUAGGGACCCAGAAAAGCCCCACCAGGACUCAGACAGUGGGCUGAGGCCUUCCCAGCCAGCACAGCUGUGUAUCUGUGGCCCAAAGGGCCCAGAGGCCCACCACGCUUCUGCCCUUCACAGCAGCGCCGGUUCAUCGAGAAGGUCAGAAAAGUGAAGUCAUUCUCUAGUGUGCCUGAGAUCUCAGGGCAGACCUUGCCUGAGGCUAGACAAGGCUGAAUCUCUUUCCUCCUGCUCAACCCCAUGAUGUUCUUUGAAGAGCUGUGAGGAACAGGGAAUGGCUAUCUUGGUGGGGACAACGGGUGGAAGCAGCAGCAAGCAGAUGGGACAAAAUGUAGAGAAGGAUCAGUAUGAAGAUGAACUCUCCAGCCUGGUCAGGGGUUGUGAUCGGCUGCUUUACAAAAAGAUUUUUUCCACCUUUCCUUGAGAAACAAAUGCAUGCCUCAUGCAGCAGAUCAAGGUGGUGACUGUAUUUGCCAGCGUACCAGACACACAACUGCGUAAGGGAAAAGGAAUUUCUCCUGGAGCUGAUAAUUUCCAACAUGUUCAGCAACAUUUGUCUCUUGGGCUUCUGAAUAAGACCAGGAGGCAUAUGGGAUCUUAGCACGCUGACCAGGGAUCCAAACUGCACUGGAAGUUUCAACCACUGGACUGCCAGAGAAGUUCAUAAAAUGGGGGAUCUUCGCAGAGACAACAGCUCACAGCCUGCGGAUGGCGCCCCAGAUGCUCUCCUGGGCCAUCUGACUGUCCACUGGGACCCGUGGGGAGGAAGGAGGAUGAUCCCAUCCCAGAGGGCAGAAUCGGGGCACUUGAUACCUUUCCUUGUGCCUUCACAUAUACCGUUUCAUUCACUAGCCUAAGAAACAAACAUAGCUACCACCUUGGAAAAUAGCAACUCCGGGGGAAAUUCCUGUUCCCUUAGCCAGCAGUGGUCCAGUGAGCAAAGAAAGCCCAGUGACAAGCAUCCACUUGGGAAACUCUAGGUCCUGGGAGUUCCUCACCAAGAUGCCUUUCCUGGGAGAGAACCCCAUUCAGUCCAAAGAACUCCAACUCUGUUAGAAAUGUAAUCGACAGCAUUUACCAUCAAGCCAGAUCACUGAACCAGUUUGGACCAAGACAGCCUAGACUCAGCUGGAAUUGCAGAAUUCCCCAACAGACCCUGUUAGAACCCAGUGAAGGUGGCCCCUUAUUGUUUUUCUCAAUUAAAAAAAAAAAAAAAAAAAACAACCAAAACUAAGAAGCUUUCUGCAUGCUUUUAAGGCAUUUACAGCUGCCCAGAGAAGCAGGACUACUUAUGACUCCACUUAAUAAGCACCUGGCAAUCACCAACCUCUCUAAUUGCCAUGUGGGUGAAGAGGUGGGAAUUCAAACAAACGAAGGAGAUUUCGAAGUGUUACUGGAAGAUGAAAAAUGUGACGGAAGCGCCUAGGCAUGAGAGGCAAGCAGAGACACAUGCUUCUCUCAGGGCAGCAUAACCCAGAAAGCCGACUGAAGCUGAUGUGAACAUUCCCAGCAUCUGCCUCCUGGACACUUACACCGAAAAGAGCCGCAUCAACUGCUCAGAAAAAUGCAGGUACCACUGAGACACCCCAGGUACCAUGGCCUGUGUUGUUUCCUCAGGCAAAAGUUGUUGCUGGGAGACCCAGUGCCAAGAGUUUUGAAUGUCCGGUUCCUCACACCCCAGGCCUUCUCAAAAGGGAAAGGAGAUAAAACAUGGGGGUUCCCACAGCACUAUCAAUACCCUCCCCCUUUACAGAGAGGAAACUCUGGUUCAGAGAGAUUACAAGUAGAGAGGCAGGGCUAGGAUUCAGAGUGCCCGUAACUCUCACAGUCCAGAGCUCUUGGGUCCUCCAAGGAACGAGGCCUUCACUCUGGGCUCCUCUUCCGCAGGUUAGGAGUGGUAACUCAGUGCCUAACAUUCAGCUGCUGCCGACCAUCCUGACUGCUAACUACUCACACGUGUGCCUCCCUAGAGCACCCAGGACAGACACUCUCAUUUACCCCCGGCUUCCUGGGCAGGGUCCAGCUGACACUUCUCAGUGUUCCACACCCACCAACCUGUGUCUAUUCAAAAAGGACGUCGGGAUGUGAUUGUCCCACUUAUGUACAUGCCUUGGUUGUUUCCAGAGGCCUGCGUAUGACCUCAUGCAACCACCUGGACCCUCUGAGCAAUACCUUAAAUUGGCUUUUUGAAGAUUCUCAAGUCCCCAGAGUCAAUUUUAUUGAAACAAAAUACAAAGUGCCCCCAGGAAGGGACAGCCCUGUGAACUGUUAGUGGCUAGCAUUUGGCAGUACGUGGCAGCUAGCUGAGAAUCAGGCCCUAAGAAGUGGGAAAUGGGACUGGGAGGGGUUGGAGAGGGUAAAGAGAAAGAAGCAUGAGAAAGGAGG
ensembl:lncRNA